AAGUCUGACGGAGCACGCCGCGUGAGUGAUGAAGGUUUUCGGAUCGUAAAGCUCUGUUGUUAGGGAAGAACAAGUGCCGUUCGAAUAGGGCGGCACCUUGACGGUACCUAACCAGAAAGCCACGGCUAACUACGUGCCAGCAGCCGCGGUAAUACGUAGGUGGCAAGCGUUGUCCGGAAUUAUUGGGCGUAAAGCGCGCGCAGGCGGUCUCUUAAGUCUGAUGUGAAAGCCCACGGCUCAACCGUGGAGGGUCAUUGGAAACUGGGGGACUUGAGUACAGAAGAGGAAAGUGGAAUUCCACGUGUAGCGGUGAAAUGCGUAGAUAUGUGGAGGAACACCAGUGGCGAAGGCGACUUUCUGGUCUGUAACUGACGCUGAGGCGCGAAAGCGUGGGGAGCAAACAGGAUUAGAUACCCUGGUAGUCCACGCCGUAAACGAUGAGUGCUAAGUGUUAGAGGGUUUCCGCCCUUUAGUGCUGCAGCUAACGCAUUAAGCACUCCGC
rnacentral:rRNA from 1 species